rnacentral:rRNA from 1 species
UACGAAGGGGGCUAGCGUUGUUCGGAAUCACUGGGCGUAAAGCGCGCGUAGGCGGAUUGUUAAGUCAGGGGUGAAAUGCCGAGGCUCAACCUCGGAACUGCCUUUGAUACUGGCAAUCUUGAGUUCGGGAGAGGUGAGUGGAACUGCGAGUGUAGAGGUGAAAAUUCGUAGAUAAUUCGGAGGAACACCAGUGGCGAAGGCGGCUCACUGGCUCGGGUACUGAC